CUCCAGCGCUGGAACAGAGCUAAUUCCCAGAGUCACCAGCAGGAGGCGCCACAGGGGUGAGCCGGCCCAUCUACAAGGAGACAGAACUUUCUCUCAGGGCAGUUCAAGGCUAUGGAACGAAAUCCUCAAGAAACUACAGACCAUCACAAUCACCACUACCUUCAACUCCAAGUGCAAGGACUCCUGCCUCCUUCAGUGCACAUGAUGGAUCUGCUCUGGAGAUGAAACAUGUUUGUGUAGUGAAGGAGGCUGUUAACUGUAACCCAAGGCUCAUAUGUUGCACAGGUUGGAAGAUGUGGCCAUGCUGGAACUCAUCCUAUUUCUUAUGUCUCAUGCUAACGGAGCAUAACCAUAUUUAACAGGGAUACAUUUCUGUUGGUAAUAAUGUGAAUGCUUCACUGAUUAGCUGCAGAAUGUCUUGUG